rnacentral:lncRNA from 1 species
GCGGGCGGCCGCCGACGACGGCCGCAGGCAGGCCGGCGCCGACGAGUCGCUCCGCAAGGCCAUGUACCUCAGCUGCUGGGGCCCCAGCUGAGAGGAUAAGGCCGUUUUGUGAAUGUGACGGGGCGGCGGAUGGGUGGGACAGGCGGUCGGUGUAGGGGCCUCGGCCUUUGCGGAUGCUCAAUGGCCGGACCGGGCCUGCUGGGGCCUUUGAUGAACUCGCGAUCGCGAGAUGCGUUGAGGGGUUCGGUGAUUUGGGAUUAACAUCUGGGAAAUUUGUGGGAUCAUCAAAAGGGUUACUGUACUGUAAUCUUGUACAUAUGCUUCCUGUAGAUAUCGAAUGGAACUAGGGAAAAAGAAAAAAAAAAUCUUUCGGCUACUUUCUCUCUGGAACUUUCGAUCGAUUAGUCAGAGCAAACGCUGUCGAGUUUGAGCGAUUAGAGCUCUCUGCCAAAGUGCCAAGUGUCCAGCGUCGAGCAACCAUGUCAAAACGAAGGGCGGGAGCGGAGUUCGUGUCGCUCCGGCCCGGGCAUCACAAAUUCACAAGGAUUUUGUAUAUAACAACUUUUUAAGUUCGUCGAUCAAUCACGUAGCCGGCAUCCUGAUGGAUCGGCACAGCAACGCGUUGAGUUGAGCCCGGCGCCGGCCGAACAGACUGCUACGAGCCCAUGACCAGGCAGCACUUCGGCGAACGCCGAUCUCGGCUUCAAACUCUGAAGUUCAGGCGGGUUCCGUUCCUACCGCAGAUAAUUUCAGGCAAGCAAGCGGCUCGAUGGACCGAUGGCCGGGCAGGGGACGGGACGUACGCGAUUACCCACACCGCACGAGGACGUCGCAGAGGUGCGCCUCCCGCCGCCCGAACAGGUCGCAGCUGCCCCAACCGUUGGCCGCACGGGUUCAGAGUUCAUCGGAGAAGUCGGCCGCACGGGCACCAACCGUUUUGGCGCAGAUCCUAAGGUCCGGUAAGGCCUGGCAACGCAGCCGCGAAUCCCCUAGUCGAUCACUCGCCGUCCUCUCCUCGAUUCGUCACCACUCACCCCGCGCGCAUCAUUCCUUCGCGAGCCGCGCGGCACCGGAGCUCGACACGGCGACAGGAUCGCACCGGGGAGAGCGAGGCAGCGAGCGCGAGGGACAUGCCGCGACAAGCGACGGAUAUGAUUGACUCGCGUCGGACAACGAUGCGGAGCUGGAGCCUGACGCGGUUGGCUUUUGGCCUGCGCCGGCUUUUUCACGUGGUGUCACGUGACGCUGGGCCACCGCGGUCGCGUCCCGGGACGGGUGGCGCGACGCGACGCGACCGAGUGACGGAAACGAAGCAUGGGCGAGAGAGAGGGCAAACGACGCGACGGGACCCCCACGCCGUGGUCUCCAGGACGCGUGCUCGCGGCCGGUGCAUGCACCGCGCGUGCGCCGUCGCUCCAGCUCCUGCAAUACGUCCGGAGAGCCAAGAGUGGGAGCAAGAUUGCAAGUCUGCAAGAGCAAGUAAGCAACUCUCACUCAGCGGCUGGCAUCAUGCGUGCCGUCAUUGGCGGAGGCCGGUGGCCGUAGCGGCUCUCCUUAUCUCCUACGUUCCUGGGCUGGCAGUGGCAGGAGUCGACGAAACUUGCGUUGGCAACGACUCCAACCGCGGCGUACGUUGAUCCGGCACACCACGUGCCCUCAAUUUAGGCGUCGUGGAGAGGGUUCUAUAGCGUGCCUACCGCCUAGCUCUAGCCGAACCGUAUACGAAUCGUUCCACAAGCUUCCAAUGCUCCACGAAGCAUAUGAUAGGAAAAGAGGGUGCAAGACCUCAGGCCUGAUGUAGUGAUGUUGUGUGGGAUCGAACCUACCUGGAAGCCUGGAUAACCAUGAUUUUUAUACGGUAUCAAAGUUAACAUGAUUCUGAAACUCCCAAUCCAUCCAACUAACGAACGAGUGAGAGAUUUUUAGAAGUAAUCUCUUCUCGUUUAUAAAGCCCAACAGGCUAUAGCCCAUGUGCUAUUUCGAAACUCCUACGCACAGCCAAGAAACACCACGUACCCAGAGAAAUAGGCCCAUAAAAGAGGUGGCACCCGCAGCCCAUUAACCACCACGCAUCGCGCGCGGAUAUGAGAAGCCCAUGCCCAUAUUCACAACAGCAGAAGAACUGAAGAAGUGACGAACAUCCUCCCAAAGAAUACCGACACUCCAACAGCCUCGACAUCAUUAGACCAUUACCUCCAAUCGCAAUAUAGUACGUGGUAGCAGUAGAGUAAAAGAAUACUGUGCUCAGGUUUGCAUCUAACCACCGUGCGAUAAUCGCCUACAAUACCCACGCCAAUCAAACGCUGCGUACAAAGAAUAUCACGCACGCCGCCGGCCGCACCACCAACGCGAGCCGUGCAUCACACAUCCACACAGCUCAGACGUUGUCGGGCAGGUCGAAGUGCUGGACGCCGAGCACCUGCAGCGCGGCGUUCUGGACGAAGAGGACAACGCCGCACUUGGCGGCGCGGAAGCCGUCCCAGAGCGGGAACUGGACGGUCCCGGACACGGACUUCUUCGCGGAGGCGCCCUCCCGCACCGCCGCCACCUUCUCCAGGCGGCGCACCACGUGGUCGUUCAGCAGCGACUUGCCCUUGUUCUCGCCGCGCCCGCAGUCCGUCACCAGCCCGCUCUCGUACAGCGCCACCAGCACGCUCGCGCCGCCGGCGCCCUCCACGCGGCUGCGCAGGGUGCCCGUGAACGACGCCUGCAGCGUCGUCGGGUUCGGCCGCUGGAACGUCGCCUGCACGUUACGUAACGUACGCGGAUCAGAUCAGAUCAGGUCGAGGUUUCAACGGUGCAUCUACAGUGACAUUGACACCGCAUCUACAGAACCCAUAUGUAUCCGGUAGAUAUGAAAUACUGUUCAUUGCAGAUCCGGCAUAAGAACAGUGGCUGAUGAGACGUUCCACAGCAACAGGCAAUCAGAUAUCCUGGUUGUCGCUUCUUAAAUUUGCAGACCGCUUUGAACACUUUCUACAUGGCAACAGGAUCGGAUGUGCAAGGAAGUUGUAAUUACAGUACCUUCAUGGCGGGCGCCGGGUAUCGCGGCGCGUCGCGGACGCCCUGCGCGAGCGCGUCCUGCUCGGUGCCGACGCAGUGCGCACGGCCCUGCACGACGACCUGCGGCGUGAAGAGCGUGUCGAGGCGGAGCGCCUCCACGUAGGCCUUCUGGCGCACGGUCCAAGCGCUGGACGCGAAGGGGUCCUUCCACCCGCUGUGGUCCCAGUAGUCCACGUGGAACGCCAGCACCACCACGGCCGGCCCGCCGCCGCCGCCUUCCUGCUGAGCCGCGGAAUCCUGCGCCAGCCGCGCCGCCACGGCGUCGGCCUCGGGCGACGCCCCGCACCCCUGCGACGCGAACAGCUCCAACAACACCGGCCCCGGGGCUACCUGCUGCUGCUGCUGCUGGUCCUCCUGCUCGUCCGGCGCCGACGCCGUCGCGCCGCCCCUCCGGCCAAAGCACGCCAGCAGCCGCGGCGCCAUCGAUGGUUGUAGGCUAGCUAGUAUCUGCCUUAGCUAGCGAGCUGCCGGCGCCGGCGGUAGUGGUGCAGCUGGCGAGGGAACGUCGUGGCGAAGGGAAUGAGGGGAGAUCAAGUGACGAGCUCGCUCGCGUGGUGGCGUGUAGCGGGCAAGUAGUAGGUGUCCCGGACGGUAUGGUGUGUGGUGGCCUGGUGGGAUAGAUGAUUGGUGGGUGGAACUGAACGUGGCGGUGGCGACGGCAACAGGACACCAGCCUGUCAGCACGCAACCCCUCUUGGUGUUGGAACUUCGCCGGCUGGCCGCCAUGUGUGUGUUCGUGCCCGCCUAACCUCCCAGCUCCAGCCUCUUCUUUACUUUGUUUUCUCGCAUUCUACCUUUUCCGCCGCAGACUUUGCAUUUCUAAAUCUGGUUUCACCGGUUCAGUGCGAUCCGUGAACAGAUUAUUCUGUGGCCAUGUUCCUUUGGGGAAUGGAAGGAGGAAGAGGAGAACCCGCUUUUGCUUUCACGAUCGGCGCGAUGCUUUGCUUGGUCCGGUGUGUUUUGUGGGCGCGGCCGCGGCGGGCACCGUGUCGGCGAGUGGUUGGAUCCGCCGCCGGGGUGGCUGUAAUUUUUUAACAUACAAACAGCAAGACCACGUUUGAGCCGCUGCUGAAUGCUAAUCAAUCAUUGCCACUAGAUUACAGUAGUAGCCAGUCGUGCGUCUAUUACGUGUAUGCUGGUUGGGGUUAGCAGACGAGCCUACAAAGUACAGACAGUGCUGUGGGUGUCGCUGAGGCCUGCUGCUUAUUUUUAAGCACCCGUUACAUCGAUGUUUACAUACUAAUUAGAAGUAUUAAACGUAGACUAUUUACAAAACCCACUACAUAAGCGGAGGCUAAACGGCGAGACGAAUCUAUUAAGCCUAAUUAGUCCAUAAUUUGACAAUGUGUUGCUACAGUAAAUAUUGGCUAAUGAUGGAUUAAUUAGGCUUAAUAGAUUCGUCUCGUCGUUUAGCCUCCACUUAUGUAAUGGGUUUUGUAAAUAGUCUACGUUUAAUACUCCUAAUUAGUAUCUAAACAUUCGAUGCGACACGUGCUAAAAAUAAGCAAACGGAAACCAAACAGCCCCUUACACGUUCGCUGAUCCUGCGUGAUCGUCACGGUGCAGUUCGUGGAGUUUUGUGUCGAUCAGAUACCGACAACGGCUGGCUUCGACACUAUGAAACUUGCGGAGACAGCGAUCGGAUUUUAAUUGGCGUGCGCUGGCGAGUGUGGCCGUGCACCUGAUCGUACAUCGACGUCCGACCUGAUGAUUGUCACCGACUCGCCGUCGGCCGAACCUGUCGGCGGCGGGCCUGGCAAAAAUUAUCGAGACUUAUCUCUGUUUUCUUCUGUGGGUUGGCUGGCAGCCUGGCGCCCGUCCGCUCUGUUAAAUGGGCCGAUUAUUAAUACCUGGGCUGGCCUGCACUGGUAAGUUAAUGGGCAGCAGGCCUGUUUAAAACUCAGUCCAACAACGCCUUUGGUUCUCGGCCUUUCUCUUUCCAGAAGCAGGUUCAUGUUGGGUCGAGAGGAAGGAACAAGGCUCAAACGAGGCCGAUUUGGGACAGCCCACAAGACUCGAAAUGGGUGGUGGUGUUCCCGAGUCAAGGGACUGAUGUUUGCAUGCUCAACGAGGCUCAUCAAGCCCACCUAACAUUCUGCGUCAGUCGUUUUGAAUUAAAGAGAGAAAAAAUGGAGCCCUCUUCCAUCCUCCACGUCUUUGGUAGCCUUCAUGCCUCUAGUUCGGGGAACCAGGGUCCGACGUCCGCAUGUAUAUACGCCUUCCUAAUAAGUAACUUUUGGGUAGGUUAGUUUGCCCAUGGCAGGGUUAGUGUUGCAUUCGGGUAUUUGUCGUUGAUGGCAUCCUCUGUGAUGAAAAUCCCCUGUCGCUUAGCAUCAAGGUACGUCUUCCAGUUCCUGAUGGAGUUGGAACUGGGUUGGUGUGUAACAGUGUAAGGAUCCUCUUCUUUAUUCUUUCAUUGCUCGUCUAUCGGAUUUUGCCAUCGUGGCGACAUGCAUCUGUUUCUGAUCUUUGUGAUGAUUUUACAGGCGCCCAUACGGUGGAACCUUCGGUAGUUCAAGUAUUCAGCCACUUGGUUGUCGUGCCACCGUUGCCCUUUCAUCAAUUGAAGCUCCUUCGUCCGCUCGGGCCUCGGGAGCUUGCUUCCAGCCUCUCCCUCGGUGCUCUACUCUGCUGCCUGCGAAGGGGAAGUGCCAAGCAGAGGCGGAUGUGCUGACCGGACAAGCAUGAGUUCGUUGAGAGGUUCACUCUGCAAGUGACCGGUUGUAAAGGUAUUGUUUUCAUAUAUAUACCCCAUCACUUAUAAAAAGAUCAAAGUUUAGGGGAUCCAACCCAAUAUUUUUUAAAAAAUAAACAGACUGGACUAGAAAGUCGUUUGCCCCCAUCACUGAUCAAAGUUUCGAGCGCGUGCACCGUGCACGUUCGUCCACUCCGUCCAAGUGGGAGUCGCCGCCGACGGGUGACGCAUGCGUAUCUGCGGAGCGCGGAAACUUUGGCCCGGGCUCCACCGCGGUUUCCACCAGCUGUACGCCGUCGUGGGACGACCGACUCCCCCCGGCCACGGCGCCGGUCCGCCGGACCCGCUGUGGCGCUGUCACAGUCCGCGGCCCACACCGUGCCGCACUUCCGCACUUGCCUCCGCCCCCGUAAUCCGCACGGUCGGUGGGCGUCGCCGAGCCCACCCGCGGACCAGCCCGAAGCCCCGAAUCAAUUCCGUUCCAGGUGCUGGCUGAGUCACCGGGUGCUUGACUUCCACGGCUUCGGAGCACACGCGGCGGGGCCUCUGAAUUCGCAGCUUCAACGAAGACAGCGUCAUUAGUCCUCGCAUUGCCAAUGCCAACGUUUCCGUCUGAUCCAGUGUUGACGAAACCCAGCUCCGGGCACAUCCAAAAGCGGCGUAAACCUGUGCCUAUCCGAUGGAAGAUCGAGGAAAUUCGUGCGCAGCCGGCUUUGAAUUUUGUUGCGCUCAUUCUCGCUCAAGCCAGACAUGCAUCAUGUGCUGGCACGUCUGCAUGCAACCUAGCCAGCCUCCUACACUGUGGGGGUCGUUGCUGAUCCGUCCCAUGCGUGUACCACAUGCGUGCACCGCUGUGCUGCUGCUGUCCUAGGCCGUUGCAGGGGAGUCAGCUCCAGCGCGCGCCAACGCGCGCACCGUCCGUCCUGCAGCUCCAUUGGGGCUAGCUUGGAAGGCACACCAAAGGCCAGGUCACGAACCCGUGAUGUGUGUGGAUAUGGUAGCACGUAGCAGCGAUACGCUGACGGAACGGGCCCGUCGCCGCCCAACGAUGAGAGCGAUCGUGAACGCGAGCGAAACGCGCGGCCGGUGGCGCGUCCCCGAAUCGGAUCCUGUCACGUGUGGCAUGCGCGCGUACCCGGAAGGAAACUGGUGGCGGUAGCUGGUAGAUGCUGCCUGCUGGCCACGGCCGGGAUCGAUCACUUUACACGUCCGCCGGGAGAGAAAACAAAGGGUUAUCCACAAAUUUAUCCGGAUCACAUUUGCGUAAUCCGGCGCAGCAGCGCCGAGCCAACAACCACCUUUCGGGCUUGCCGAUGGAUCAGAUUAUUUUACGGGGGUGGACUGGUGCAGCGGAUUCGCAGGUUUUUCCUGGAAAAAGUUGUCGCGCACAUCGCGGCCGCGUGCGCGCAAUUAAUAAUCCGCGCUAAUCUAAUCCAGAACGGCCGGGGCGACGCACAUCGCUUUCCCGCUACGACGAGCCCGUGACGCUAGCACGUCGCGGUCGCUCGAAAUCGCCCGCUAGUCAUAUGAUCUCGCGGGCCUAGCUAGCUCUCGAGCUGGAUCUGGUCUGGUGGUGUUCUCUAUGGGGUCGUAAUUGCGUUGGGCUUCUUUCGAUCCGCUCUCGCCCGCUUUUCCGGAUCGAACACGUGGGAACUGAGGAAAAGCGCCUGGGCCCCGGAUGAGACCGAAUCAGGCGUGGAUAAGACGACAGAUUAGCAGUAGUAGCAGAGCAUGGAUGAGGGAUCGCCGAGUUGGUGGCUCCAUUUGCCUGCCUUUGUAUUUACUUCCGCCACGCUCUUCUUGUUCCUGAUUCUGUGAUGUAGCACUGCUUCUGUCGUGGAUAAGACGGAGACGCGCUCUUUUUCGACAAUGUUUUGUGGGUUAGGACGUGCUCGGUGUGUGUGGUUACAAAGAAAACGAUGGAUAAAGAUCCUGAAUGAGGUUGUCAGCAUGGUUAAUUGCCACAAUAAACACACGCUAGUGGCGCCACAUGAAUUUCCUUGAAAUUUUUACCGCAUUAUGUUCCUGUUCGUUGCGCACAAUAGCAUGCAGAAUGGGAAAACCAAGCCACGCCAUCCUUUGAGGCCACCAGCUUAUAUUUGUUAGCUCGUUGUUUAGGCGGGGUAGAAGAGUAUUCUCUAGCUUGGUAAUUGGUAUCUUUUUUCGUGGUUUGUGUUCACCCGCCGGAUUUGCAUGACAAGCCAAGCAGAGUAAUAUGCAUUUCUUAAACGGGAAACUGAAAUUUUUAGAGCGCGUUCAUUGCAGAUAACGUUCAGGCAAGAUUAAAGUGUAAGCGUUCAAGAUCUUAUUUGGAUCCAUCCAUCCAAAAUUUAGCUAGCUGAAUUUAUGGAUGUUUGGAUCCAUCAUCUUAAUAAUUAUUAAAGAGAUAUUUGUUUAUCCUGUACUGCAAUUCUGGUAACAAAGUAAAGGACCCGUCAAACUUGCCUGGCCUGCACGGCGGCCGGUCGACGGUGUCGAUUUGCUUGCGUCUAUUUCUUUUUGAUCGGUUGUAGAUGUGCUCUGUUAAUUGGAUGUUCCAGGGGUUUGGAUGGGAAUUUGGUUUGCUGGUUCGGAUUGAAAUAAAUAGUGUCUGGUGUAUGUAGAAGCGUCAGCGCGGCAUUCUCUUUCAGAACCAUCGCCGCUCUAGACCAGAGAGAGGGACGAGGAAGUCUCUGGACAAUGUUGCUAACUGACGGGCCUGUUCUGACCGUGCGAUUAAUUAAGGAUAGUGAAUGGACGACGCAGAUCAGUAGUCGACGUGGCACAAUGGGCGCUCGAGAAAGGCCCAAUUGCCUGACCGAGAUUCGUCUAUUAGAGAUCGUACGUCUUAGUCUACAAGCAUGGUUAACCUGCUCUUUUGGAUGAUCGAAAUGGCUCACCAACGUCGUCGACCUGGCGCAGGUUCUAGAAGACAGCUUGCGGAUCUGUCAACAACAGGCACAGCUAGUAGUUGAGGGCUUCAGGCAGUGGAUAACGCAUAAAGCACAGCGUAGUAGUCCGGGCGUACGCCUAGUCCUACCUGACGGAGCCGGUGGUUCGGCCGCGUGUCAGCGUGCCGUGGUAGCGCGGCAGAGCCGGCGCGGAGGCUGACGGCGUGAGGUGGCGUUCAUGAUGCUGACGGCGUCGUUAUCCCAUCCAUCCAAUUCUAAUAAGCAGGGUGCUUCAGAGAUUCAUCGAACACGACACCCCCAGGAUUAGCCCUGUUAAUUGGGUUGGGUUUAUUGGUUUUAAUGGUUUGGUUUAUAUAAUAAGUUCAUUUGAAUUGGUUUAUAAUGAGUUGGCCUGCUAGAUGGUUUGGUUUGGUUUGGGUUUUACAAAUAAAUAGUUUGGAAGGUGUUUGGGGUGUGUGGUAUUAUUUUUGGAUCUAAAAGACUCUCAACCCGUGGGUUGAGACCCAUUAAGAACCCAAAAGCCUGGAGCCUCAUCUAUCAAGAGUCGGACCCUAAAAAUAAAACCUCACGUUCACACCUUAAAAUUUUGGAUAAAUUGAUCGAAACUUGUUACAGAUGAAUUAGUUUAACAGUCCGCUACUGUAUGCAAAGCAGUACGGCUGGACUUACAUGUGGGGCCCGCGUCAAGAGUCGGACCCUAAAACUAAAACCUCGUGUUCACACCUUAAAAUUUUGGAUGAAUUGACCGAAACUUGUUGCAGAUGAAUUAGCUUGACAGUCCGCUACUUUGUGCAAAGUAGUAUGGCUAGACUUACAUGUGGGCCCCACGUUGAGAGUCACAUACAAACUCAAAAAAAAAAGUUAACUAAUGGGUUUUUAUUGGGUACCUAAUGGGUUCUUAUUGGGUUGUAACCAUAUUUGGCAAGUAAUUUGUAUAACUUAUGCAAUAGUAAGUUUGGGGUGGUGUGGUGUGUGAUAGUGGAGGUUUGGUUUAGGGUGGGUUAUAUUUAUUUUCUUAUGAGAAUAGAUUGGUGUGGUUACAACAUGGGUUACAACCCAAUUAACAGGGUGACCCAGGAUCCACGUGAUGCCACACAAAAAUGGAGAAAGAGAAAGGAAAGAGGAGAAGAAACAAGGGCUCGCGUUCGAUCAUUCAUGUUCUGAUGCUCGUUGGCCUUCCGCAGAUUCUUCGCCAGCUGAAGGCAAAUCGUAGGCAGCUCCGUGACUGAUUCUCGGAUACCGCGGUGCAUUUUCGUCGCCUCAUAAUCUACUUAAGCGCGAACGAUUUCUGAAGAAAUUUUCAUCGCCCAGCGAAAAGAUUUUUCCAGAGAGUACAAGGUGGGUACACGCCAAAAGCCAUUGCGCUGCUAAACGGGCACAUGAUCAGCCGACAAAGGCACACCAGCUUGUUGCCGCCAUAUGGCUGAUUUUGAAAUCGCCCGCAUGUUUAAACGAAUAGAUUUUGCAGCCCUGGAAUUCCAGAACUCUCAUUUUAAAAUCUCAUGCUCGCUGAUCUUGAUCACCGUGUGAAAUCAAUCAAAACACCGCAUUUUUUUAAAAAAAAAUCUUUUGGACAUGCAAACGUGCCAACUUUAAUUGCUGUGGAUCAGAAAGUCAGUACUCAGUACCCUGUAGUCAGCAAGAGUCCAUGCGCACGGAGAAAGGCAGAGUUUUAAUUUGCAACUUGCAUUCAUAUACUUCGAUUUGAUCCAAUCCAUACCCCACAAAGAAAAAAGAAGACAGGGGACGAAGACCAGUUGACUGUUCGUCAUCAUCCAGUCAUCCUACCUACUGCGAUGAUUAUAAUACGGUGAAUCUUAAACCAUUUUAAAUUUCCCGCUAAACCCGAAGAAUAAAGCCGUAUGAGUAAAUUAUUGCCCGGCCGACACCGUCAGCAGCGAGCGACGUCCCAGGCGUCACGGGCUACUGCAUGCCGGCGAGCUUGCCGUUGCCGUUGGCACCGCCGCGCAUCUCGAGGUCGGCGCCGACGUGCACGUCCUCGUCGCGGAUGAAGCGGCCCCAGUACCAGUGGUUCUUCCACACGAGCACCAUUUCCUCGAUGGGCACGUUCUUGGUCUCCGGCAGGAAGAGCGCGACGAAGAUGGUCAUGACCACCACCCAGGCGCCGAAGAAGAAGAAGAGGAUGAACUUGAAGCGGCAGAGCAUGGGGAGGAACGCCUGCGCGAUGAUGAAGGUGCAGAGCAUGUUGACGGACACGUUGAUGCUCUGCCCCGCCGACCGGAUCUCCAGCGGGAAGAUCUCGCUGGGCACCAGCCACCCGAGGGGUCCCCAUGACCAGGCGAACCCGGCCACGUAGGCGCAGAUGAAGAGCACCACGAUGGCGGCGUACGCCUUGGGGAUCUCCGCCACGCCGGAGAACCCGAACUUGGCGCCGAUCAGGCUACCGACGACGAUCUGGCAGGCGAGCAUCUGGGUCCCGCCCUGCAGGAACAGCUUGCGGCGGCCGAGGCGGUCCACGGUGACGAUGGAGACGAAGGUGGCGAAGACGUUGACGAGCCCCGUGAUGACGGCGGACAUGAGGGAGGCGUCGUCUGCGAAGCCCAGCGUCUUGAAGAGCACCGGUGCGUAGAACAUGAUGACGUUGAUGCCGGUGAGCUGCUGGAACAUGGGGAUGGCGAUGGCCAUGACGAGCUGCGGCCGGUAGCGCGGCUGCAGGAUAUUCCGCCACGGGUGCGCCACGAGCUUGGACUCCUCGCUGGCGGCGACAAGGUCGUUGUACUCCUCCUCCACGUCCUCCGUGCCGCGCACGCGCUUGAGCAUCCGCUUGGCGGCGUCGGUGUAGCCGCGGUCGAUGAGGGAGUUGGGGGUGUCGGGCAAGAACAGCGCGCCGAUGGCGAUGAUGGCCGCCGGCACCGCCGCCAGGGCCAGGCUCACGCGCCACCCCCAGCCGCCCUUGAUCUUGGCGGUGCCGUAGUUGAUGAGGUUGGCGCACAGGAUGCCGAUGGUGAUCAUGAGCUGGAACCCGAUGUUGAGCAUCCCACGGAGGCGCGCGGGGGCCAUCUCCGACAGGUACACCGGCACGGCCUGGUUGGCGAAGCCGACGCCGAUGCCGAGGAGGACGCGGCCGAGGAUGAGCAUGACGACGUCCUUGGCGGCGCCGUUGAGGGCCGCGCCGAUGAGGAACGUGACGCCGCCGCCGAACAUGGACCACUUGCGCCCGGCCACUCGCGUCACCGUGGCGGCGAAGAAGGAGGCCACCAACGCGGCGAGGUAGAGCGAGGAGGUGAACAUGGUCAGCAGCUGGCUGUCGAACUUGCAGUACUGGUUGGUCUGGUUCCGCUCCGCCUCCUGCUCCUUGCGGUACACCGACGGGAAGAACUUCAUCAGGAACGGGUUCAUCGACGUCACGCCACCUGAUCAUCACGAACAAACGUCAGUUUUUUUUUGCUUUGCCACUGAUUUUUUGCUUCUAAGACUAUUCUAAUUUUCUGAAGGAAUGAUCUGAGGUGAUGUUUUUUGUUUAUUUGGAAAAAAGAAGGCUAGGUGAUGCAUGGAAAGAUUCUUCUUGGCUUUGCGAAAGAAUCUGGGAAACCAAAUAAAGAAAAGGCGGGGGAAUAUCGCAGUUUUGUUUGUAUGUGUAAAAUCAUGCGUCGGGUCUCCCGACAGCACGGUAGGUGAACUGCGCCCGAGAAAAUACCCUGAUUUGCAAGAACAGAGCAGCGUGCGAGAUGCAAACAGAGAGUGUGUUUUCUCUCUCUUUCUAAUCAUAGCCAUGAUUUUUUUUUUGAAAAAGAUCAGGAACAGAAGAACAUCGCAGAGGGACGGGAUGCGUAGCUUACCAGAGAUGCCGAUGUCAUAUCCGAAGAUGAGGCCGCCGGUGGCGGCGACGAUGCAGGCGAAGAGCACGAACAUGGUGAGCUUGCCGGGGUAGUCCUUGCCCCCUCCGGUGUUCACCACCACGCCGCCGGCCAUGGCGACUGCCCAAUACUCAAACCACAAACACACAAAGCUUUCGCCUCACACGAUCACAGGCUAGCUCCACACAGAAGACUUCACGAAAGGCCUAUGCCAAGAGGAAAAGAAUGGAAGUGCUCGUGAGCGCCCGGAGAAGAUGGGAACGUCUGCGAGUUCAGAGGCGAACGGAGGCAGCGUUGAUUGUUGAGACGGGGGAGGAGCGGGCGGGCAUUUAUAGGCGGGGCGAGGGGCCUCCAUGUGAAUGGGCGACGAGCUGGAGGGUGAGACUGCCAGGGUGGGGCCAACGCUCCCUCCCGCCCGCGCUUGUUUUUCCGUUCAUUAAUUGUGGCCGUGGAUAAAUCUUUAUCCCAGCUACCGGCCCCACCACCCCCGCUUCUUCCUUCCUGGAAAGACCCAGCGGCCAUUAAUGUGAACACGGCGCCGGUGCAGGCGCGCCAGCUGCUUUCCGCUCCCGGCGACGGCGGGGAGGAGGGUCGCCGUUCGCCGCCGUCCACCGCGAGAACGCGUGCGUGUACACGCUCGAGAUGGGCUGGCGGUGUUAUCCGUUCCGUUCCCGUUUUCGCUGCGAAAUGUAAACGUGCAGUGGAUAACGGCAUUAUUAGGUUCGAGGGUAGAAGAACAGUUAGCGGGGGGAUCUCCUGCUGUGCUGUGUCUGGAUUUCUGGAGUCACACCUGCUGAUGACUCGGCGACAGGUCAUGCAGGCUCCAUGCGUAGCGUAGCAGCGUUAAUGGCGAAUCCGAUUCUUGCUGAUCAAGUUCCUCGAUUGUGGUUUAAUUUGGCAGGGUGGGUAGGUGCAUGCCGUUGCCUUCCUCAUGGGAGGUGAGGUACGCUUGCUGACGUGGAACCGGCUGUGCAAGUGUUGAGCACAUGUGGAUGGGUCAACGGCUCAACGCUGGUCCAAAUUAAAACAGAUGAAACUGAUUAACCAGGCUGCGGCAUGGCAAAUUUGCGCAAAGAAAGAACCGAAUAAAAGGGUUCAGUUUUCUCUUAGGUUAUGGGUCUUGAUCUAAACGAUGAUGUAGAUUCUUAGGUUAACCAUCAUAACUCGACGAAAUCAGAUAAUGGAAUGCGGCGUUUUAUGAUCAAGCCGUGACAUGCUAUGCUGACCCACAAGAUCCAAAGUGCGCAACUUGGCUGCAUUCACCGAACACAUGCUCGCUCGGCGGCCACGGAAGUUGGGACUUGGACGGAAUGAUGGAGGCAUUGUUUAACACAAGCGCGAGCACGUCGCAGUCAUCGUGGGCGAACAGUGCCCCGGGACUGGCUCGGCCGGUCGGCUGCGUACCCGUCGGACAGCUAAUCUGCUAGCUCGGACGACCAUGGCCUCAUCUACUAUCUCCUUGGUCCGGCGCCGACCGGUGCGCCAGCACGUAUAUACUAGUACAGAAAAGCCAUCGAGCCAGACACGGCGAACCGCCGCCAACGGCGUUUUCUCCGAUCCGGGCACAUGUUAGGAACGAUCUGCCUGAGAUAUUUCUCCUUUUCGUACUGGCUCCCGCCGCCGUGGUGGUGUGCGUGCGUGGCGUCGUCACGCCACCACAUUACUGCGUUCUCGUCGCUGGAGUCGGCGGCUUCCGGCGGAGUCAAAGGAGGGUGCGGCAGAGGCGCGCGGGCGCUCGGGGCUAGCUGGCCGGACCGCGCCGGGAGCCGGUGCGGGCAAAGCUAGGCCGCAGGUGUGGGAUCGCUGGGAUACGCUAGCUUGCAGCCAUGUCGACGUCGCCGCAUCGCGGACGCGACAAGGACGCCUCCCAUUUGUACCGGUCCCGUCCGGCCUGUAGCCCGGUAGCAUGCGUGAGUAAUGCCAAGCGCCGGUCACGAUCCUAGGCUCACUAAUGGCUUGCUGGGUAAUGGCAAGCUAACUGCUAUAAUUUGGUCAAAGGGAUGCCGAUCUCGACGGUCGGAGCAAGCUAGCCUGGUCCACGGAACUACGGCGCCCAUGUCGGUCUCUGUGGGAACUAGGAAGGGCAUGCCAGUAGGAGUGCAGGAGGCAACCGCAAGUACACAAGGCUAAGAAGAAGCUAAGCACAUGGGACGGGACGGGGAAGGCGGAAGGCAGGCCUGCGAUCCGAGUCAACGAUCGACUGGGAUACGCGAAGAAGACGGGCCAGCCAUGCCAUGGUUCCGAGCAAGAGGGGGGAGGGAGAGGCCGAUGCGCGUGCGUCACCGCGACGACGAGAGCGAAGCCAGCGGACGGGUCCGGCGACCGGCGCUGAGGUCAAGCCCACCCCAAGACGUGUGCCUGUCAGUGUGGACGCAGCAGCUCCCGCAUGUGCCGCUCGUUCUCGCGCCUCGCCAGUCAAUGCCAACCAGCCGGGUCAACCACUGCUGCUGCCAGUCGACUGCGAGUCCUUGCUGGGCUUUCACUGUUGCCGGGAUAAGACCCCGCUGAGAUUUGACUUGAUUGAUACUCCUACGAUGCUGCUGCCCAACCCAAGUCGGCUGGCAAGAGCCCAAAAAAUGUGCGGAUUGGGAUCGUACUGUGGUCCGUGGUGACCUUUUGUGGAAAGUGGGACCCUACAAGCAGCCUCGUUUGAAAAAGUCUCGUAGGAGGAAGAGUCCUAGACUGCGGUCCACCAAUCAACAUCCAGCAAAACCCAAGAAUAUUCAGACUAGCAGACAAAAGAAAGAGCUGCUGCAACUUUGCAUGGCGUGGUGCGUUGCAUACUUGCACACCACCGUUUGUCAACAGUACAGUUUUUCGACUUUUCGUUCGGCAUGGGCCUACGGUGUGUAAUCUACACGUUGUCAUGUUUGAAUACUGUUACGAUGCACUCAUCGAAAUCCGAAAACAAACUACUACUGCUUUUGUACUAAAAUAUGUAAUCUGCUUCUUCCAACUGCCCAAAGUCCAAAACAAUAUGCUAAAUGACUAAAGCACGUCCUAAGAAACUGAGCUGCGCGAGUGCAAGUAGCAGCAGCAGCAGAUGAACAAUGUGCCGCUACCAGUAAAGCCCGAGUUCUAAAACCCUGAGCCAUACGUGGAAAGCUCAGCGGCGGCGGUUCUCGCGCCAUUUCUUCGUUCAAGGCGUGCAGGAAAGCAUGCUGCUCCGUCCAUCAAGUGCCAAAGGUUAGUGAAAAAGCGUGCGUUCAGGUUUAAUUUGAGACUUCAACUGUCGUUUUGUUCUGUUCCUAGUUCUUACCGCCAAGAAGACCACACGCGCUAUGACCUGACCUGUGAGAUGUUUACAGUUGACGCCGUAUCCGUAUCCGUAGUCAAUUACAGUGACACGCAAGACCACCAGAGCUACCUACAUGAGGACGAUGUAAUUUUCUUCCUUGAGCGCAGGAUAUUUUCAAGGUCAAUGCUGCUGGGUAGUAACGUAGCCCACGAGGCCGCCCCGCUUAAUUGCCGCUCGUGGCCGUUGCGGCCGAGCUGCAAUAACCACGCGGAUUAAACAAUCUUCGCCUGCUAAGCCCACAAAACAAUAUUGCAUACCCGCGAAAACCCGCAAGGACCCACUUCAUGACAACGCCCAUCUCCUUUCUUUUGCUCGCCACGGUGCUGCCCGGCGCCGCCGGACGAUGGUCACCGGAGGGUGAGCAUAACGAGGAAGCCGAGGAACGUCGCCGCGCCGACGCCGGAUCAGCUGAAGACGAUAAGCUGUGCCAUGCACUCGCGCGACCGCCGGAGUUUAUCGUAGCUCCUCGGGACUACGCCGGAGCAGCAGAGCACGAUGACGCCGCCGCCUUCGCCGCCCUCUGCUUGCAGGCUCACCUCUCGCACGUGGCCACGCCGAUCGUCGCACGUGAUGGUGGUCUAGACGGCCACGACGCCAGCGCCGGCGCCGGCGCCGGUGCCGAGCACGAGAGCGUCGACGCGGAACGGGGCGCCCAGGAACCUGCCAGACGAUGCGCAACAUGAUGCAGGCUCCACCUCUCGUCGCCAUCGACCCUGCCAGCAACGCCUCCGAUGGCACCAACGUCCACCUCAAAGAGAGCCAGCAGGCCUUGUGACUAGCGCUGAUGAUUCUUUCGGACGCUCGCGGGGUUUGCGGACACAGCCACCAGGCCCACUAACCAAGCACACUAAUUCCCAUGCGGGUUAGCGGCUUCUCGUGAUUGAUUGAAAAUGCUUUGCGGGCUAACGCAUGUGGGUUGUGGCUGUCCACAACCCGCCCCGCCUGCAUCCCUACUGCUGGGCACUCGAUCACGGUCUCACCGGUUGGUCUCACGGGCUACCUCAACCAGUUAAGUCUGUCAAUUUUCACUGUCACAUUCAACCAGCUGGUAAAGCAGGUUUAUCCAGCAGGAAUAUUCAUCGUCAGUGAGCAUAAGAUAUGUGAAUGCACGGCAUGCGGCGUGCAUAUCUCUUUCACUCACGUCGCUGCACGCAAAGGCCUAGACGCGCGUGUGGCUGGUCGAGCCGCCGGGCAAUAUUCUACAAGUCAAGCAGAUUCCUUUUUCAUCACAUCAACGAGUGGCCCCGCCAGUAAUCGUACCUACCAGCAGCCACUAUUCUACUUACAAGUUAACCGAUGGAAUCGAUUGACAUGUGCAACACGGGUGUGCACAAUUAAGAUGGCCAGAUGGGCCUUAAUUACUACUACUAGUAGCAGUAGAUUAACACCAAACUACAGUGUAUAUUAUUCGAUCCUCGUCGUACUUAAUAUUUGCUUCACGUACCCUGCAAAUAGCAAAAUGUUUUCCUUUUCCCUUCAUUUCAUCCCAAUCUUAAGCAAGUGCAUUUCGUCGACCGAUAGUAGACACGUGCGACCUGUCUGUUUUUUUCCCCCCUGAAGUCCCUGAUCGGCUGAUCUCAUUAUCAAAUCACUGAAAUCAGAGAGGGGGGUCGCAUUCUCUUUUGCGGAUGGAGCACAAACUGGCGGGCUGUAUUCUUUGGUCAUUUACUCGUUCAGUUUCCAAACGCUAAUGCCGUCCGAGUCACGUGCAAUCAUGUGCGGAUUCUGGUCUACAUUCUUCCGAGAAUGACACCCAGUUUGCCCACACGCAGUCACGUGCAAAUAAAAAGGGCCGGAAUGGAUUCUAGGAAUUUGAGGCCACGAGCUUGGUGCCUGUAGUGAGUGGCUCACUGGCUCGUCAGCUAUCACCGUUUUCCACGGGUGCCCGCCCUCUCGCCUGUGAUUUGAUUUUGGAAUCCCAAGUGAUGGGCACUAGCGAUUUGUGGAUCGUGCCCGUCGCCCGUGCGCUGAGAUUGUGUGGGGGUAUGCAGGAAACGUGGCAAGCAGAGGCACCGAGAUGACUCGGAGCGAGGCGGACGUCCGCUUCAGUUUUGAUCAUACAGAGUUGCAGACCGGGCGAAAGUUGGAGUAGCGACGCAUUCUGUGAGGGUUCUGCUCGUGAGUCGUGAUACGGUAGCAGAGGUGCUGGCAAACUAGAUAAGAUAGUGUACAAAGAAAGGAAGGGGAGAGCAAAGUGAACUCAGAUCUCAAAUUGCAAAGCUGAAUGUUCAGAUCAGAGAUGUGAAGCGCAGCAGCUUGAGAAUUUCCGGUAAUGUAGCUGAAGAAAAAUACUGAGCUUAAGCUGUUUGAAAUGAUAGUUUAUGGCCCAUCGAUGUGCUGGGCCUGAGCGCCUUCACGCGCGCGCGAGAGGACCAAUCCCUUCAUGGGCUUUUGUCGGUCUAGAUCAGCCCAAAUCUUUCACGCUCAUGAUGGACUGGAUCACCACCUACAACACCGGAGGAAGAUGAAGCCCAAAAAUUCGUCACAUACAGGUGUACCCUGAACCGGACGGCCCGGGCGCGGCACGGCGGCAUCACAGGACCGUUGCGCGGCGGCCAGCUGCGGCAAAACAAAAAAAAGAGAUGCGUCUGCCGGGAGUCGAACCCGGGUCUAUUGCUUGGAAGGCAAUUAUCCUAACCGUUGGACUACAAACGCCUUGUUGAGGUAAAGGUUAAGAUUAAAAAUAAUAGAGAACAGACACAUGAGAGCAUGUAUAUUAGGCACCUUCUUUCCCUUUUCCUUUGAUAUGUUUUCAUUUCUGUACCUUUUUCCCCGACUCCCAGUGUUAAUUGAGAACCUCUAGAACACAAAGUCCCUGGACCCUAUGCUGUUAGUCAGCAAAGCUUUUAGGUCUCUGUUGACAGGGCUCAGCUUUUCUAUAGGUGGUCAACUUCAACAAGAAAAAGUCGGAAAGAAAGCAGCGUCAGAGUAACAUAAUCUCUGGAUGAUGUAGUAGCCAACCUAACCCAACAAUCAUCUCACGGUCUUCCAGAAAUCCGGAACUACUUUUAAGCGUUGACGUUCCAGAACAAAAAGCUCUUGAUUGCUGCAGAACGGCGCCUCCCCUCCCUCAACUGCCUCGGACUUGGAGACAGACACCUUGCACAUCACAGGGGCCAAUGCCACUACGAAGCUGAUGGUGCGACCAAUUGUAAGGUUGGCCGGUGUUGGAAACUGGAGAUCAAAAUAAAACAGAGGGAAUUGCUUGUUGGGCAGACGUUUUCAUGUGCUCACUGCUCAGUGAAUGGCUGCUGGAAAAGGCAGCUCGCCUGACUCUGACUCAGUGAUGACCGGGGAACAAACUACCGAACCUGCCCGUCGAAAAGAAACCAUUCCUGUCUGAAUAAACGACCCGUGUCUGGAGAUGCGCUGUCCAACGUCUCUGACUGAAGCUUCUCACGACAGGUACGUGUAGCCGGAACUGCCAUCUCGGCUCAUACCUCUGAAGUCAUGCUGAGUUGCUAGCUGCUCAAACAUCUUGUCUGAAACUUGAAGCAAGCGAAUGCUCCUCCUCAUCGAACAAGGACUGACCUGACUGUUCGGCUCAGAGGGGGACAGGAAACUAGAAAAGCAGCCAUCAAGCUGAUGCCAAUGUUGCGUGUCUCCUUCAGCCAGUUAUUGGUCAUUUCAGGCUCUCGACAGCGAGGCUUGAGCAACGGAAGCACGGACGGUCGAUCGGGGGCUCGGGGCAGGUCUACGCGCCAAUGCCUCGGCAUUGUGACGCUGGAAAUUUCACUGGUCCAGGUCUCAGAUUCAGCCACACGGUACUGAAUCCAAACUACUGGUGUAGCACAUAAAGUCGUGUAUUGUUCAUGUUCAAUGACCGUGCUUCUGCAUCGACAUUGCAGAUUUACAGUAUCUUCCACGACCAGUCAGAGAGUUUUAUUGCCCUGCUUUGACUCGAUAGUACAAUCUUCAGAAACACCUGCAGAUGCUGCAGCACGCGAGAUAAACGCACAGUUACAUUUACAUCCUGCAAAAGGUCUGCAGACACAGCAGCAAUGGAUCGAGUGCGUCAGAGAAGACGACCAGUCGCCAAUAGAUCCGCAGCUCUGCGUGCAAUAAGUGUGUCCACAUGGAUGGAUCGAGGUAAAGAAGACGGCGACUUAUUGCGAUCGCGAGAGCUAGCUUGAGCCCAUGAUCGCAGCUCGUCGGCAGGCAGGCACGCAGUACCCGCACUGUACCGCGAGAGAUCAUAACGCGAAGGCGACCCUACCGCGCGAUCGCGAAAGCUCAGAUCGAUUUGCCAUUUUGCUGCUGAAUGAUUGGUUUCCAUCACUCAUUUGGGCCAUGGUCCACGCCGCCCACCUUUCUGUCAAAGAUGAAUGUGCCCAGCGGCAAGAAGGAAAACAUCCGAUGCACAGGUAAAAGUGUGCGAUUUUCUGAUGCUGAUGCAGUCACUGGGUGGAUGGAUUAGUUGUUGAAUGGACUCGCACUUUUAUUUGACAGUGAUGAGUGAUAUACACAUGGGGUGACAAAUCACUGGGUGAUUCAUUCUUUGAUUCCUUCACAGCAACAAAAGAUGCAAGGAACAUGUGUGUUAGCUAGAGGUACAGUACUAGUAAGUGACAGCUAGUUCUUGUCGCCAAGGAUUACAGGCUCCAGAUGCCAUGGAAAAUACUCCUCAGCUUGCUCCCGCCAAGCUUCUUCACGAUCCGUUUGGCGUCCGGGACAUUAGUCUCCGCGAGCUUCUCGAGAUUCCUGCCAUGGAAACAUAACAAACAGAUCGUGAGAAUUUCUAGUGAGAUGAGAUGUGAUGAACAAAAACACAUAACGAUUAGUCAGUGAUUGACAGGUGGUGUCUGUACCUGACGUGCUCCGAGGACAUGAUCUUCCUCCGGCCGGAGCUGCUGUCCGUGAGGUGCAUCAGCGUCGACAGCAGCAACCGCUUCGCCGGCGUGGGCUUCUCCUCUUCGGGGCCCAGUAGCUGCAGCACCUGCGCCACGUUGCGGUCAUCCUGGACGAACCGCUUCCGGUUGCGGUGCACGGACACCAUGGCGCAGAGCGUGUCCGCCGCCAUCUCCCGCGCCUCCGGGGACUUGGCCGCGCGGAGGACGCUCACCAUCUCCGGCAUGAACCCAGCGUCCCCCAUCGCCUUCCUGAUCUCCUCGGACACCUGGCACAGGCGGUGCGCCGCCUUGAGGGCGCAAUGCUGCAGCGUGGUGUCGCCGUUGCGUAGCAGGGAGAGGACGCGGUCCAGGAACCCGGCGGCGAGGAGCCGGUCCGUGGAGGUCGGCGGCGAGAGACAGAUCGCGUCGAUGGCGCGGAGGGCGACCUCGCGCGCCUUCGAGGAGCGCGUCGGGGAGGACGGGUCGAGCGCGCGGACGAGGGACUCGACGGCGCCUUCCUGAAUGACGGCCUCCCUGGCGGAGCUGUCCCCGGAGGCGAUGGCGGCGAGGAGCUCCAUCGCCUGGAUCCGCGCCGCGUCGUCCGUGGCGGCGCCCUGCGAGAGCGACACGAGCGCCGGCACGGCGCCGGCGUCGGCCACCAUGUACUUCCUGAUCUCGUCCACGCCUGCGAGGCUCCGCAGCACCCGGCACGCCGCGCACACGAGCUCGCCGCCGCGCGCGCCGUGGUCCGUGCACACGUUGAGCAGCGCCGUGACGCCACCGUGCGCGGCGACGGCCCAGGCAUUAUCCGAGUUCUCGGUGAGCCUGCAGAGCACCCGCGCCGCGCGCUCCUUGGCCGCCGCGGUGCUGCCGGCGCCCGCGUCGAGGACCCGGACCACGGGGGCGAUGACGCCGCCGACGACCAGGUCGCCCCUGUGCGCGUCGGACCCGGCGAUCACCGAGACCGCCUCCAGGGCCUCCUCCUGGACGCGCGGGUCGGGGCACUCGAGCAGCGAGACAAGGACCCCGACGCCGUCCGGGACGUCGGAGGCCACGACGCGGACGCACUUCUCGUCGUCGCGCAGAGCCUCGCCGAGCGCGGCGGCGGCCUCCCUCCGCAUCUCGGCGCCGCCGGCCCGGAGCCUGGCGAAGAGGUCCCGCACGUAGAACCGCACGUCAUCGCGGGUGGCGCCGGCGCCGGGGCGUGGCACCACCAGCGCCCGCGCCCGCGUGAGCGCGCCCGACGCGUACACCUCGUCCAGCCGCGCCACGUGCGCGUCGAGCGCCGCCGCCAGGACGUCGAGGUCGCUGCGCAGCCGCAGCUUGCCGCCGCCGUAGUGCCGCCCCUGGCUGCGCGGCACCAGCUCCAGCGCCUCCCGGGCGGUCGCCGCGACGUCCCGCAGGAGGCUCGCGAACGCGUCGCACCUGUCCUCGCCGUUGUCGUCGUCGGCGCCGGUGACGGUGAUGUCGGCGAGGCCGGCGUGGAGGCGGUUGAGCCGGUCCCUGAUGAGCUGCCACUUGAGCGGGAACAGCGUGGCCGACAAGGAAGCGGAGACCAAGGAACUGAUGGCGUCCAGCGCCUCCGCAAGCAUCCCCUGCUCAUCCAGCUCCUCGUUCUGGCUCAACUCCGCCGCCGGCGCGGCCGCUUCUUCCUCCCCUGCUUCUCCCAUCCUCCUGUCCUGUCCAAGCUCACUGCCUCAGCAGCAUCGGUCAGCUCCUUCUCCGAAGAAGGCUCACAUGCACCUCUUCGAUUCUCGCCGAGCUUGCAUCGUGGUGGUGGUCGAGCGAGGACGAGAGGAGAGGUGGAAGGAAGCAGCGGUGCGUGGAGUGUGAUAACUGUAACUGCACGGUGGCGCUGAACUGGAAGAGACGGGCAGCUUUGGCGUCUUCCAGGUAGUUAAUGGAGGUGGAGGUGGAGGCGGGUGGGCCCGGCAGUGGGCGGUGGACCUACCGGCCGGGGCGCAGGCGCAGCACGAGCGCGCGACUGUUGAUGCAUGCGCUGGGCUUCUCGGGGAAACACGACGACGAGGCCCCGCCUGCCCUGGGGAUCGGCGAGCUUUGGUGCGGAGCGGCAAGCGCACGACGAGGGGAAUGGAAUAGCGGCACAAGUGACCAAGCCUGCCAGCGUCCACUGGCUACGGGUUUAGGAUCGCGUGACACGCUCAAAUGCUAGGCGCACAUAGAGGAGAAAUAUGGAACCCUCUCCAGCUCAAGUGUCAACCAUUUGAACAACACAAAUAUACAGUAUCUUGUUCUGUGCGGUGAAAGACGAAACUAUGCAAGCCGACACGACAACCUCCUCAUCAGUCUUGUAUUGUAUCUCUCACAAAUAUGGCUAUUUAUUUGGCCAUAGGCGGUGUACUGCUCAUUGAUAGCAAGGUACGUGACCUUGUCACCCUGAACGUCUAUGUGUGUGUGUGAAUCAGUGGUUGUGCCAAUAUAUUUAUUUCUUUUUCAUAAAAAAUAUGGACGCUGAUACUGCAUCUGAGUGCCACAUCAAGAGCUUUCAGGAUGGAUGUCAAUGCUCAUUCAUAUAGCUUGAUGUAUCCACUAUUCCACUAGAAUGGAACUCAUCUGUUACUAUUUGCACUAACAAACACCAUGACUCAAAUUCGGUCAAAUAAAUCAUUUAUUUUUAUAUGUAGUAAAACUUCUCACUGAUGGUUUGGAUGAUAUACUCCUUUUUGGUUCGAACAACUCAUUGUCCUAGAUAUAACAUAGAGAAUAAAAUAAUGAUACACUAGAAUUGAACUCAUUUCUUACUCUUUGCACUGACAAACACCACGACUCAAAUUCGGUUAAAUAAACCAUUCAUUUUUAUGUAGUAAAAUUUUUACUGAUGGUUUCAAUUUUUUAUGUAGUAUGCGAAUAUGGAUGGAUCAUGGAUGCCUAGCAUUAUCUACAUAGCACGCUCAAUACUCAUGCAUUCUCUAGGCUACAAAAUAUAUUAUUUUUAAUUAUUUUGAAACUAUUUGAAAAUAGUCAUUAUAAUUGAACCUAUUUAGAUUUGUAUCUAUGACUAUUGAUAUUAAUAUGGUUAAUGGUAUUAAUUUUAAUCAUAUGACUAAUGAUAUACAAUUUAACUUCAAAUUGCGCACAUUCAAUAAUUAAAAAUUGAAUCUAUUUAAAAUUUGCAAUAAUUAUCUUGAAACUAUUUUAGAAUGGUAUCUAUGAAUAAUAAAAAUAUUAAAUUGUAUAAACUAUUUAUUUCUAAUUUCAAUUAAUGUUGGCAAUGCUAUAUAUCCCAUGUUGUAUUUUUAUGACUUGUAAUAUGAUUGGUGUAAAUAAAUGUGUAGUUGUGAAAAUAGAAAAAAUAUGAAAUAUUAAUGGUAUAUUUUUAUUCAUCUAACUCAGUGUUUGGUUAACAUAUUAGCCCGGUUUUCAAUCAAAAUAUUAUUUUUUUAAUAAUUUAUUUAUAAUGGUUCUAAGAAAGUAUUAACUCAAUAUACAUGUUCAAACCAUUAUUAGUUUUUAUGUGUUUUUGUUCUUAAAUAUAAGUAUCCUUUGGUUUUUGAAAUGAAAAGAGAAUUUAUAAUUUGAGGUGCAGAUAGUCCAAUUUCUAUCUGUAUUAAAGAUUCAAGAGUAUCCUAAUUCAUUUUAAAAUAUGGAUACAAAAGUGGAAAGAGCAAUAUAUAACGGUAUCCUAUCUAAUUUCCAUCCCCGAAAAUCUCAACGUGGUGACCACUUUCCACGAACGAAACUCGCCACAGCUCGGACGCAUGAUUCAUCACGAGAUGCAACAUCGAGUUCUUAGCAUCGACCGAUGGCAUCAUGGCAAAGCGAACAAAGUCUGUCAAGUCAGUCCAGGCAUCUAGCAGCGCAGCCUGCAGCCGAGAAUCACGAAGCACUGCCGCACUGGCACUGAAGCAUCCACUCAACGCCGAAGAACGCGCGCGACUGGACAAGAGCGCAUGCACGGGAGCAAUUCCUGUGCGCCUGCCUCAUCGUGCCAUGCAUGCAAUCCUGCCAUGAAAACUACUACUCUAGAACUGCCAAUCUUCUCGUCGCCUAGGAAAGGGUCCAUUUCUAUCCACUUGCGCUUCGCUUCUACGCCGCUCAUGUGAGCCCUUCCUUAAUUUGGCUGCACCUGCACCUGCACCUCACGAGAGAGCCUCGCUUUAGCUGGUGUGGAUGUGAAGGAACAAAGGGCGAAAGGAGCACAGGAAAAGAUGCAUAAAAAGCUCUGCAUGGCAAGGAUCACACAAGGGUCUUGUUGCCCUCAUGGCAAGAAAAGGGCGCCCGCUUUCCUCUUUCUGGAGAUCCGCAGAAUACUUGGCGGUUGGUCAUGUGAGAGCGAGAGGCAAACGGCAUCGGCUACCUGCUCUGCUCAGCUACCGGUCUGUUACUGCAGUGUGAUCCGUGAUGCUGCAUUGCCGUGGUAAAGAACAGUGCAGGAUGGAAACAUGUGAUUCGUGAACAUUCCAUCAGGCAAACAGAGAUGAGAACAAUUUAGCAUGAUUUUGCCGUGUAUGGCUGCAUGCUGCAUCGGUACGUCCGUCGGAUUAUUGUCUCUGGAUGGAUUGUGACUUUGUGAGAGCCCAUGCCUGCAUGGGAGCUGGGGGCUCAGCACAUGUGGCUGGAACUGUGGAUGGAUAGCUGCGAGACUCUACCAAUAUCACUGAUAUGAAAUCAAUCAAUAAUGUUUCGGAAAAUGCAGCUGCAGUGGUCACGUAUGCAUGGCUGGAAUCGUCUACUGUUUGGAAUCAGUACCUAGCAGGAUAACAGACCAUCUCCUCCUUAGAAAAAAAAUGAAGGCAAAGUCUGUACAGAACUUUCACACAGAUUGUGGCUACCUGAUUGUAUGAGCCACCACUCAUCUCCUGUAGUUAGUUCUUCAGAAACCUUGGACCCAUCUCCUCAUAAUGCCAUUGUUCUCUGGACAAACUCAAUAAAUUGGUAAUACGAGAUCCUGGAAAAGGGACAGAUCUCUGAUCUGGACCCAUGAUUGCCCUUCAAGAUCAUCAUGGGUAGUGGCUCGCAAAGCGCUCCCAAAGUUUUGGUCCCAUGGAAAGUGGUUGUGGGUGACAAAGUACAUGUGCUAUAGCCCAUAGGAUGAUAUGGUAGUAAAAGCUUCGGUUUCCCCAUGGAGAGGAAAAGCCACCCCCACUUUCUUGAGAAGAAAAAAGUUUGUAAGCCAACAGCUAUCUUUUGCUGCAAUGUUUAUGCAUUGACUCAAAUCAUCGCAGCAGAUUUGGCCGCUGAUUGUCAAACCUAGCGCAUGCUGAUUCUCUAGGUGCUUUGAGUGGCUCAAGGAUUUUGUCAUGUCUCUGCAAGAAAUGUUUUUUAAUAAAAAAAGGAGAAAGAAAUGUUUCUGGAUGCAGUGAGUGCAGUUAAUACUGAAACAGACAUGAUUAUAAAGUACAAAAUCAAACUUGACAGUUAGUGGCAUAUGAUCCAAUCUAGUUCAUCAUUAGACUAGGUGAUCUCAAGAGUAGGUAAUUUAGACGGAAAGGCAUGUAAUCCAAAGUAGAACGAAGAUGUACCCAAUCUGAACCUUGCUUUUGCUUUGCUAUCCAAGAUCAUGCGGUGGAGUAGUUGCUUUUCGAGCUUUCAAGAGACAAGCCAGUGCUACAGAACAGUUGCUUGGGACAGUACUGUACUGGUGAAGUUUUAUCAAAAAAUAUUAUUGGAGAGCGUUCGCUACCUAAAAUUAGCCAACUGAAAGCAAAACACCACCAACCAUCAGUUUGACAUGCAUGCAUCCUUUAAUUAGUUGUCUUAAAUUGUCAUGCAGUUUGUGAUACAAUGAACCAUGUCUGAUAUUCUUCAAUGACAAACUAUUUUUUUUCACUAAUUUACUGCUAAAUUUUAGUAGUUUCUUGCAGCAGUGUUUGUUUACUACUGUUGACGCAGCCUGCCGGAUCAUGAAGCAGGAUUGUAGAACAGUCCAAGAUCCAGGUUAUAAAAAAUAAACUGUACUGAAUGUUUGGGAUCCAAGAUAUGUUACCGUAGAAUGUAAGCUGGAAACAAGUUUAGAAUCAUCAGUGGUUGGUCAUCUUACCGAUCCCUUCAGCACUCCAUAGAGAUUGAUGUGUUCAAUCAAGUGCUGGGGAAUAAAGAAGUGAUAUGUUUGGUAAAAGGAAAAUGAAUAAGUUGGAUAUACCCGAACCACUCCACAUGCUCUGCCGCAGUUCCGACACAAGACUGAAUUAAUAUGUAUGCAGUCGAGAAAGACAAAUGGUCGAAGGCAGGAACAAUUAUAGGGACUGGUGAAUAAAGAAUCUACAAAGAAAUAUUAAAUUAAAUUAUCUUUAAAAUGUUGCAUGCAAAUGUCGUAACCCUAAAAAAAAAAACAGACCAACAUAAGACAAACAAAAUAAAGUGCAGAUUCAUGAAGAGCGUAUCACAAUAAAACAGAUAAACAAGGACGCAACACACAACUGAAGAAACUUUCUGAAGAACUCCUGUGUGUGACACGACCCAACACCUGCAGGCAGAUCGAUGACACCUUUCUCAUGAACAAAUCACUGCCAAAGAUCACUGACAAAUUUGAUGAGACCGAUUAACUUAACAGCAAUAUUCAGAUCAAUUUCAUUGUAAACUCUGCAUAACUUGGUCCACAAUUGGUUCUGAAAAUGACACCGUAUCGUGACACGCCGUCUGCUGGUUCUAGUGGGCCACAGCUCUCUAUGAGCAUGACUCGGCCACGAUAUGCCAUUUCUUCACCAUUUUCAUAUCCAAAAAAGCUCCAAAUACUGUCUGUCCCAAGUUAUCUCAUCCAGAGUUUCAGUCAUGCAGCACCUCCUGAUUCUACCGGAGGUCUAGAGCACUUCCUUUGAGCAGUUGCUCUAGAGCAGUUCCUUUGAGCACAGCCUCGAUAUCCAGCCUGUACCAGGGCCCAACGACGGCGAAUUGGCAAACGGCCCAUCCCAAAACCUGUGGCGACAAUGUGCAUGCAAGCGCGACGAAAGUGUCGUCCAUGAGCCUCGAGCGUUCUACCGCCUUAUCCCGGGUUCCCAGCCAAGUGGAGCAGGGUCCUCCACGAUCUCUUCAGUGGCCGGCGUUGGACGCGGCGAAUUCUUUACACGCCGCCGCUAUCCGAGCCACGAACACCGAGGCACGUGCGCCCGGCGCGGCCACAUGUCGAGCAGCACGCGAUCGAACGCUCUUUUCCGUCGUUCCCAAUCCGGCCUCAAAUUCAAUUUGGCGCCCCAUUUGGUAAUGGCUAUAUAACGUGACGAGCCACCCGAAGCAUUCGCCGCAUCUCGCGCCCCGGCAUCUGCUCCGCUUCCUCUCGGCUAGCCGGCCACCGUGUCGUAGUCUCGUGGAGCGACAGAGCAAGGCGGCGGCGGCGGCGGCGGCGAGGAUGCUGGAGAGCCAGGCGGUGAUCGGGGACACGGACAUGCUGCAGGCGAUGCAGCAGGACGCGCUGCGGCUGGCCGGGAAGGCGCUGGACGACUUCGAGGCCGUCGACUCCACCGAGAUCGCCCGGUUCAUCAAGAAGGUCGGUCGGUCGGCCGGUCACCGUUCGUUGUUGCAGCGAACACUGAACGCCUUUUCAGAAUGGUGACAUGUUUCUUUGGUUUCUGAUGCUGACAUGUUUUUGCAGGAGUUCGACCGGUCGUACGGGCCCGGAUGGCAGUGCAUCGUGGGCACCGACUUCGGGUCCUUCGUGACGCACCACUCCGGCUGCUUCAUCUACUUCGGCAUCGGCAACCUGGCCAUCCUGCUGUUCAAUGGCGGCGCCGGCGGCGCUCCUCAGGGUGGCACGGCGGAGCAGGCGCGGCUCACGGCGCUGAAGGCUGCUGUCGAGGCGUGAGGGAUCGGAAUGGCGUAGGGUAUGCAGGAUGGAUUGGUCGAAGUUAUUAUGGUUCGUGUCAUGGUGUGGCUGUGUUCCUGCCACGUCGUUUCGUGCUUGCUUGCGAGUGAGAGUGGCCAGACUCGAGUGUAGCGAUCAAACUUGGAGGACUUUAAUUGGGUCUUGUUUUUAAUUGGGUCUUGUUUAGUUUCCCAAAAUCCCAACUUUGGUACUAUGCAAAAAGAAGAUUCCCCGUCACAUUAAACUUGCGGUACAUGCAUGAAGUACUAAAUGUAGACAAAAUCAAAAACUAAUUGUACAGUUUUGUUGUGUAGUCAAUGUUUGGACAAUAAUUCAUAAAUACAAACGAAACGCUACAGCACAGUGAUUUUGAUCGUUCAAAAUCGAGCAACUGAACAUGCCCUUGGUAAAAAACAUUGUUCUGGCGGAAGCAGGUCACACCGAAAGUGCGGAGUGGAACUUCACAUGCAUUUUCAUCAUUCUCACGUUUCUUCAGAAUCUUCAGAAUCAUUGUUCUCGCAGAAGCUGUGGGCUAUGGGCUACGGAUCAGUCCUUCGCUAUCCCUUCCUUUUCGUCCGUCUAUCCGGAAUUUUUUUAUUUUCAUAUUUUUUUCGAUUUUGCACAAAUAUAUAGUCAAAUCAAAAAUUUGCAAAAUGGGCUUAUACCGCCGGCUGAAACUGUACCGCCAUUUGAAACGGUACCGCCGGUUGAAACGGCGGUAUGGGCCUGGCGCCUCAACGGUCACCCAGCGGAUAAGCUCUGCGCGGCAUCCGAGGAAACUGGCCCUUACCGCCGGUCAAACAGCGGGGCUCGCCCACCGUAUAAGCCGCACCCACGCCCCUCCCCUCCCCCGCACCAGACUGCGCCAGACAGAGAGAGAACGCCAGAGAAAGAGAGGAAAUGAAAGAAGGGAAGAAAAAAAAGAAGGAGAGGAGAGGAGGAGGAGGGAAGAAGGGGGAAGGAAAUUCUUCCGUCGUUUCGAGGUAAAUUUUUUUAAUCUUGUAGUUUAGAUAGUAUAGUGUAGUGACUAAAUCUAGAUUUAGAAAUAUUAGUGGAUCUGAGAUUUAGAAAUAGCUAGUGAAUCUAAGACUUAGAAACAUUUAGCCGAAUUUAGAUAUAGUAAAAUGUAGCUUAGUUGGUUCAAUAAAUUUAGCUUAAACAGUAAAAUAGAUUUAGCUUCGGUGGUAUAGUAGAUUUAGCUUAGGUGGUAUAGUAGAUUUAGCUCAGGUAGUACAGUAGCUUUAUUUUAGAUCACAGUAAAUUUAAGAAAUAUUAGUGGAUCCGAGAUUUAGAAAUAUCUAGUGGAUUUGAGAUUUAUUUGUUGUGUAUAUUAGUUCUGGUACAUGUCUACGGUAAAUUUAGUUAGUAAGUUUGGUUUAGUGUUACAUAGUUAUUUGUUUAUUGAAUUGAAGUCGUCAUUGCAGUUAACUGACAUCAUUGUAGUCGUCAUUGUGGUACACUAAGCUUGGUUUAGUGUUACGUCGUUGUCUGGUCCCCUCUCUGUUUGGGCUGUUGCAGCGCCGGUUAUAUAGCGUGAACUCCCGCCGGUUCAUCCGGCGGUAAGGGUCCUUCCACCGUUUCAACCGGCGGGGGUUCCUCGAUCCGCGCGCACACUGCUUCGGCGGCAGCACUUAGGUGGUGAGGGCCUUACUACCAUUUCAACCGGCGGUAGGGCUCUCCCACCUGCUGAAACGGUGUCAGGGACCGGUGUAGGGGGUGUCAGGCCGUACCGCCGUUUCAGCCGGCCGUAUAAACCCAUUUUUGCAAAUUUUUUAUUCCACUAUAGAUUUUUGUAAAAUCGAAAAAAAUAUAAAAAUAAAAAAAUAUCUCCUCUCCGAGCAAAGCACAUGGGCCAAAACCUGACCUGGGAGACAACAGGAGAGAGAGAGAGAGACUUGUACAAGCGUUGGGCCCUGUCUCUGAACCAUAGGCCCAUGAACACACUGCUCUUUCCGUUCCAACUAGCCAGAAUGCCAGAUCACCUAACACCCUAUCAAGGGGUAAGCUUGCUACCUCAGUGACACGACCCGAUCUCACUUUUCUUCAACACUUUUUGCACACAUCGUUAUCACGUUUACAAAUCAUUUACUUGUCAAAAAUGCAAGAUGUCGUGCACGUAGACACUAGCGGAGUUAGGUGUAAACAAGACGUGUAGGGGUCCCUGUCCUGUUCCCACGAAAAUUAUGUCUUGAAAUGCUGCAAGAACAAUUGUAUCUGAAUACCUAAACAAACAAUUGUAUCUGAACCGGCUGCCGUCCAAAUCAUGUUUAUGGAAUGGGAGCAGUCUGUUCACGUGGCCCAUGACAGGGAGACAGGGAGAGUGCCUGAAUAACUAUCUGUCGCAUAUACGUGGGUCCUACUUGUCAGCGCCAUAGCCUCCUCUUCCUCUACCUUCGCCCGCUGCCGGUUCUCCUUUCCCUUCUUCCUCUUCCUCCACCGGCCUUAGAAAAGGGGUGGGAGAUCGUAGGUAGACCUUGACGGCAGAGGCAGGUUGUGAGGCGGCGCGGCGCGGUGACGGGUGGAUAGCCGGUAGGCUAGGGAUUGGCCGGGGCGAAGGUUGGAGGUGAGCUUCUCGGCGGAGCCGGAUUAGGGUGACGGAGGGUGGCGGCGGCAGAUGCGGUGGCUAGAGUUGCCGCAGACGGUGGAGGACAACAGCACGGGGGCGAGCGGAGGAGAGAGAGGGGCCGAGGAGAGAAGGCAGCGGGUUCGGCGGCGAGCCGCCGGAGCCAGGGAGGAAGGUGGUGCAGGGGCUGUUACUGAAAAUGUCGCCUUGAGUGACACGUAGCACCGCCCCAGUUAGGUUGCGACAAACGAUUUGAUGCCUGAACAACGUGCAGUCUGACGAAGCGCUGGAGACCAACAGAUUCGAGCAUUACAGCGAUAAGCAAGGUAUAAAUUUAGGUAACAGCAAAUCUAAAUAGUCCAGCAGGAAAUCCCAGGCAGCAGCACCUAAAACUUGCGACGAGAAAUGGACAGGCUGAGACGAUAUUCAGUCAGUGUGCACUGGCGCGUCACAUCACAUCAGCAUUGGCAUUGUUCUUGUGCUCUGAAUCUGAACUGAUUCGGCGAACCAACUUUAACCAACCAAGCCAACCACCAAACAGGCUACUGAUGCGAUCUAGGAAUCCAGAUCCAAACAGCAUUGCCAAGGCACUCGACCAUCCGCAACAAAAGCUUGGCGAUUCGAGCACAGUCCAGCCACUGAUGGCGUACACGCGUGAUGCAGCAGCACAGCGCGUACCAGUGGAGCAUAAUGGCCCAGCAGUUGCAACCUUGGCCACAAGGAAGAUGAAGAUGCCUGAGAAUCUUGCAAUGCCCAUCGAUACCACUCAGAAGUCACAGCAGCUCAUGAUUCUCAAUCUUUUGCGGUGAAUUUAAAAAAAGACCGGAACAACUGUAGGCUCUGAAUAAGUUAUCAUCAUCAUCAUGAUCUCAAAUAAGCAAAGCAAUCCGUUUGAGAAAAAAGGGAAAGCAGCAAAGCUUCUCACUCUCAGUAUCUCCUCAGCAUCCUAUAUGUACAUUGCGGCAAGCCAUCUAGAUAAACGCACUCAAGAACUCCAAAUCCACACGCCCGAUCAGCAAAAGUUUUGUUAAAAAAGCCCGUGAAACCAAGAAUUAAUCCCCAAGUAGAAAAAAGGACGUGGCGAAACGUGUGUGUGUCGCGUCCGGGGCAGUCGAUUCUGUCACCGGCACCGGGAGAUGUCGAUCUCGAUGAGGCUGUCCUCCUCCAGCAAGAUCUCGAUCAUCCCGUCCUCCCCCUCGCCCCCACCGCCGAUGACGCCGUCGUCGUCGCUGUCGCCGCCGACGCUGUCCGAGUCGGAGUCGGAGUCGAGGUCGGAAUCGGAGGCCCAGGACAGGCCCAUCUCCUCCGGCCGCCCCCACUCCGCCUCGAACUCCUCGUGGAUCACCUCCAGGGCGCGCCCCUUGGCCACCCACGACGCGAACUCGAGGGCCUCCGCCGGGAACACGAUCUCCCGCUCCGGCGGCGGCGGAGAAGGAGGUGGGGGAGGCGGCUGGAGAGGCGGGUGCGCGGCCUCGUGAAGCUGCUGCUGAGGCAGCUUCUCCUCCGGCUGCGUCGACGUAGGAGGAGGGUUGACGGGAGCGGGGGACGCCGGCGGCGCGGAGCCGAGGCGGAGGAGGGAGAGGAGGAGGAGCAGGGAGGAUAGCGAGGCGGGGGAGAGCACGAACAGCAGCAGCGGCCGGGGGAGGUAGAGCACGGCGAGGAGGGAUGCCGCGGCGGCGGCGGCGAGGAGCGGGUGGUGGUGGUGGGGCUGCCGCCGGUCGCCGCCGGCGGGGACCUCUUGCGCCGGCGGCGGCGGGGAAGGUGAGGUGGAGGGGGCGGAAGUGGCCAUUUAUGGCGGGAGGAGUGGAGCGGUUAAAGCGCCGGCACCCCGCCAAGCGCGGCGGUUUUUAUAUAGAAGGGGAAGCGGACAAGCAGAGGAGAUUUGCCGCAAAGCUCCGGCACGGUUUGGCAGAAGAGGGGAGAGGGAGGCAGAUGGAGUGAGUGACCGCGUCGAUGAACUACUGCUACGGCUUGGCAGCUCUUGCAAGUACACGCCAACGGGGGAGAGGACAGUCGGGUAGAAAGUCCAGGGCUCAGAACGUGAACGGCCAAACCGUGCCGCGUUAAAACUGGGAUGACUUUUAAGUGCUACUGCUUGGACAUCGGUAUUUUCUUUGGGUGAUUUUUCGAGCUGUAUAGAACAGCGUACAUUUACGAUUUUACGGUACGCGAAGAAGUGGUAUCGCUUAUUUAGGAAAUAACCAAUUGAAUGGUGUUAUUCCUCUGAUCACGUAUUUAAGCCCACCCAUGUUGAAGUCAAAAGUUCUUUUUAAUUAUGACUAUUAAUAUAUAAAGCGACUAGAAUUAAAUCAUAUUUGACUUGUAACCCUAGACCGUCAGCGUAUAUAAAGCGACCAGGGACACCCCCGAGGGUAACUCCCCUCAACCCAACAAACGUUAACUCUUUGCACCUGCGAUUAGCAAUAUAAUUCAUCAGAACACAGGACAUAGCGUAUUGCUCUUCGGAGGCUCGAACCUGUCUAAACCUUGCGUCCCUAUGUUACCAUUCGAGUUCUUGAUCUUACAAUCUUGCUCAUCUACAAAUCUACCACCUGAAUAACCUCUAGUGGAUUGCCGAUUAGGUUUAGACAAUUAGGUUCACUAACCAAAAA